GGAUUAACAGUUGUUUCCUGGACGAGGAGGGUAUCCCACCCUGGCCUCACUUCAACCUGGCGGAACUAUUGUUUUUGAGCAUCGGAAUCUUCAAGGACUGAAUACAGCUUGAAAAAAGAUGGUGCAGCUGACUUUAUGAUAAUUGAAUGAGUGAAAGCUUGUAGGUUUCAAGAGAUAAAGGGUGGAUUUUGAUCUAGCUUGAAGGUUUUGAUCAUCUCUUAUAAGAGAUAGU